rnacentral:rRNA from 1 species
GAUGAACGCUGGCGGCGUGCCUAAUACAUGCAAGUCGAGCGAAUGGAUUAAGAGCUUGCUCUUAUGAAGUUAGCGGCGGACGGGUGAGUAACACGUGGGUAACCUGCCCAUAAGACUGGGAUAACUCCGGGAAACCGGUGCUAAUACCGGAUAACAUUUUGAACCGCAUGGUUCGAAAUUGAAAGGCGGCUUCGGCUGUUACUUAUGGAUGGACCCGCGUCGCAUUAGCUAGUUGGUGAGGUAACGGCUCACCAAGGCAACGAUGCGUAGCCGACCUGAGAGGGUGAUCGGCCACACGGGGACUGAGACACGGCCAAGACUCCUACGGGAGGCAGCAGUAGGGAAGCUUCCGCAAUGGACGAAAGUCUGACGGAGCAACGCCGCGUGAGUGAUGAAGUCUUUCGGGUCGUAAAACUCUGUUGUUAGGGAAGAACAAGUGCUAGUUGAAUAAGCUGGCACCUUGACGGUACCUAACCAGAAAGCCACGGCUAACUACGUGCCAGCCGCCGCCGUAA